GUCCACGCCCUAAACUAUGGAUACUACUUAGAAGGUCCUGCAAGGGACUUUUUAACGGAGCAAAAGCGUUAAGUAUCCCGCCUGGGGAGUAUGGUCGCAAGGCUGAAACUCAAAGGAAUUGACGGGGGCUCACACAAGCGGUGGAGCAUGUUGCUUAAUUCGAUGCAACGCGAAGAACCUUACCCGGGCUCGAAAUGUACGGAUUAGCCUUAUGAAAGUAGGGUGACACCCUCACGGGUGGAACGUAUAUAGGUGUUGCAUGGCUGUCGU
rnacentral:rRNA from 1 species